rnacentral:rRNA from 1 species
GUAAGGAAUAUUGCGCAAUGGGCGAAAGCCUGACGCAGCAACGCCGCGUGCGGGAAGAAGGUCUUCGGAUCGUAAACCGCUUUUCUAGGGGAAGAGCAAGGACGGUACCCUAGGAAGAAGUCUCGGCUAACUACGUGCCAGCAGCCGCGGUAAAACGUAGGAGGCAAGCGUUAUCCGGAUUUACUGGGCGUAAAGCGCGUGUAGGCGGUUGGGCAAGUCGUGCGUGAAAGCUCCCGGCUUAACUGGGAGAGGUCGUGCGAAACUGCCGAACUUGAGGAAGAUAGAGGCAAGCAGAAUUCCGGGUGUAGUGGUGAAAUGCGUAGAUAUCCGGAGGAAUACCAGUGGCGAAAGCGGCUUGCUGGCUCUUCACUGACGCUCAGACGCGAAAGCAUGGGGAGCGAACGGGAUUAGAAACCCGGGUAGUCC